AACAUGACUAACAAUAAUGUAAAACUGAAAUUUCACAAGGUUGUAAACUAUCAUAAUCUUAAUUUUAAAAAAACUCAAAAAAAAAAAAAGGUUGAUUGGACACUUACCACAUGACCCAGCAAUUCUACUAGUAGGUAACCUACCCGAGAGGAAUGAAAACAUAUGUCUGUGCAAAGACUUGUACAUAAAUAUUCACAGCAAGACUAUUAUAAGAGCCAAAAUGGGAAGCAAUUAAAUGUUCAUCAGUUGAUGAAUGGAUAAGCAGUUGUGGUCCAUCCAUGGACUACUUCUCAGCAAUACAGAAGAGCAAACUACUGACACACACAGUCACUUGGAUGAACCUCAAGAACACUAUAUAAAUUUCCUUGAAGAGGUGUUACCUUUAAAUGUUGCAUGUCCCUUGGGCAAUCACUCCCUCUCUCUCCAUGUGGUUCAGCCAAGAGUGUCAAUCACAGCAUAUUCAUCAACACCCCACCCCCACCUCCGGCUUCCUGCAAAGGAUUAUGACUCAAGCUGGUCAACCAGAGUGUGCCCACAUUGGAUUAAGGGAUGUCAGGAAAGAUAUCUUCCCCCUAAACUAGGCAAACUCAGGAUGAGAAGUUGAGCUACUGGGGGCCAAAGAAAGCCGUUUGCCACAGGAGAAGAUAAAGCGUGAAAUAGGCAGAGCUAGAGAUGAUGAGGGAGACAAUGAACUGGUGGCAUCAUUUGGGCCUGUGUAAAUAACAGUCCUGAUACUUGUUCUAGCCCCGGACUUCCCAUAUGUGUGAACCAAUAAAUUACAUUUUUUGCUUA
rnacentral:lncRNA from 1 species